rnacentral:rRNA from 1 species
AUUGAACGCUGGCGGCAUGCCUUACACAUGCAAGUCGAACGGUAACAGGUCUUCGGAUGCUGACGAGUGGCGAACGGGUGAGUAAUACAUCGGAACGUGCCCGAUCGUGGGGGAUAACGAAGCGAAAGCUUUGCUAAUACCGCAUACGAUCUACGGAUGAAAGCAGGGGACCGCAAGGCCUUGCGCGAACGGAGCGGCCGAUGGCAGAUUAGGUAGUUGGUGGGAUAAAAGCUUACCAAGCCGACGAUCUGUAGAUGGUCUGAGAGGACGACCAGCCACACUGGGACUGAGACACGGCCCAGACUCCUACGGGAGGCAGCAGUGGGGAAUUUUGGACAAUGGGCGAAAGCCUGAUCCAGCCAUGCCGCGUGCAGGAUGAAGGCCUUCGGGUUGUAAACUGCUUUUGUACGGAACGAAAAGACUCUGGUUAAUACCUGGGGUCCAUGACGGUACCGUAAGAAUAAGCACCGGCUAACUACGUGCCAGCAGCCGCGGUAAUAC